UACUUCGCGAACCAAACGGUUGAUUUCCUCGCGCGACAAAAAGACAGGGGAUGAGGAGUCACCUUGUGACUGUUGACUGCUCUCGAUGGUCUGCGUCACCUUCUCAUAAAUUCAUUCAUUAGAGGAUCCUGAAUCACAUUGCUCCCCUUCUUUGUGUGCACCUUCUUCAUCACCUGAGGAUGAUCUGGAUGCACUCCUCCAG
rnacentral:lncRNA from 1 species